GUGCUCGCUUCGGCAGCACAUACACUAAAAUUGGAACAAUACAGAGAAGAUUAGCAUGGUCUCUGCGCAAGGAUGACACGCCAAUUCAUGAAGUAUUCCAUAUUUAU